GCAGCUCCCUGAGAGGGGAUGCUGCAGGGCUUGUGAGCACUUCUAACCAGGCUUCAGACAUUGACAAGACAAGGCCUUGAGCAACCUUGUACAACACUAAAAUGGAUCCUGUAAGAGGAGAAUAAUAAAUGGCUACACACAGUCAAACUGAUAAGGUCAAUGAAAGCAAUAAGUGCCUUCUCAGAACUACUGAAAAUGGAUUCAACACUGCCUUCAGCUAAGAACAAAUUCCAAAGCUGCAAAGCUCUGAAAGAGGAUUCUGCCAGAACCCACGCUUGAUCUCAUCAAUGAAUAUAAAAAACCUCCUCAGAAUGAGUAAUGAAUGCAAGUGCACACAGAACAGUCAGAUUUUUUUAAAGUGAUUUAAAACUUAGCUUAAAUUAGUGUACUCCUACAGAAUAAUUUAAAUGUGUAAUUAAGAAUGUUUGAUAGGUACAGCCUCUUUUGGAGAUGCAGAGAAUAAUCUUUCUACUUUAUUCCAUUAACUGAGGUCAAUGACUAAUUCAGUGAAUUGAGACUCUGAAAGCAAGAAGAAAAUGAUUGUUUUGUUUCCACUUCAUUCAGGAAUAAAAAUGAAAGAAAAAAAAAAAGCACUGAAUGCUAUAGCUUGCCAGGGCAAGGGAGAAAAGUAAAUUCAAUAUGUCAAUAAAUAGUAUUUUCUUUUCACAAUCCAUCUUCAUAUAGGCACAAAGUGAGUAGUAUAUAUUUAGUUUAAGGAUUCUAUUAAUUUAAAUAUAAUUAAUAAAAUGUAUUAAAGGAAGAGUUUCUGCAUCUUAAAUUUCAAGUUUAUGUUAAUAGAAAG